UGGGGAAUUUUGGACAAUGGGGGCAACCCUGAUCCAGCAAUGCCGCGUGUGUGAAGAAGGCCUUCGGGUUGUAAAGCACUUUUGUCCGGAAAGAAAACUUCGGGGCUAAUACCCCUGGAGGAUGACGGUACCGGAAGAAUAAGCACCGGCUAACUACGUGCCAGCAGCCGCGGUAAUACGUAGGGUGCGAGCGUUAAUCGGAAUUACUGGGUGUAAAGCGUGCGCAGGCGGUGCUGUAAGACCGAUGUGAAAUCCCCGGGCUUAACCUGGGAACUGCAUUGGUGACUGCAGCGCUGGAGUAUGGCAGAGGGGGGUGGAAUUCCACGUGUAGCAGUGAAAUGCGUAGAGAUGUGGAGGAACACCGAUGGCGAAGGCAGCCCCCUGGGCCAAUACUGACGCUCAUGCACGAAAGCGUGGGGAGCAAACAGG
rnacentral:rRNA from 1 species